rnacentral:rRNA from 1 species
AUUGAACGCUGGCGGCAUGCUUUACACAUGCAAGUCGAACGGUAACAGGGUGCUUGCACCGCUGACGAGUGGCGAACGGGUGAGUAAUGCGUCGGAACGUGCCGAGUAGUGGGGGAUAACGCAGCGAAAGUUGUGCUAAUACCGCAUACGUACUGAGGUAGAAGGUGGGGGACCUUCGGGCCUCACGCUAUUCGAGCGGCCGACGGCUGAUUAGCUAGUAGGUGAGGUAAAGGCUCACCUAGGCGACGAUCAGGAGCGGGUCUGAGAGGAGGAUCCGCCACACUGGGACUGAGACACGGCCAAGGCUCCGACGGGAGGCGGCAGUGGGGAAUUUUGGACAAUGGGCGAAGGCCUGAGCCAGCCAUGCCGCGUGUCUGAAGAAGGCCUUCGGGUUGUAAAGGACUUUUGUCAGGGAGGAAAUCCCUAGUGCUAAUAACACUGGGGGAUGACAGUACCUGAAGAAUAAGCACCGGCUAACUACGUGCCAGCAGCCGCCGUAA